rnacentral:rRNA from 1 species
ACAGCCCAGAUCAUCGUUUAAGGCCCCUAAAUGUUUACUAAGUGAUAAAGGAUGUAGUAUUACAUAGACAACCAGGAGGUUUGCUUAGAAGCAGCAAUUUCCUUUAAAAAGUGCGUAAUAGCUUACUGGUUAAGUGAUGCUGCGCCGAAAAUGAAUGGGACUAAGUAUACUGCCGAAAACAUGAGAUUAAAAUUCAGUAGAGGAGCGUUCUGUUUUUGUUGGAAUCAAUAGUGUGAACAAUUGUGGACUAAACAGAAGUGAGAAUGUCGGCUUAAGUAACGAAAACAUUGGUGGAAAUCCAAUGCCCCGAAAAUCUAAGGUUUCCUUCGCCAGGUUCGUCCACGAAGGGUUAGUCAGGAUCUAAAGCGAGGCUUAACAGCGUAGUUGAUGACCAACAGGUUAAUAUUCCUGUACCAUUUUUUAUUUGCUAAGAAUGACGAAAGAGGCUAUCCCAGCCAGAUUUUGGUAAUGCUGGUUUAAUAUUUUGAUACUAUGAAGAUAGAUAUUAAACUAUUUGAGUUAAGAAAUAGAAUACAAGAAAUACUACGGUGUUUCAAGUGGGUUAUGUCAUAUUUCCUAGAAAAUUUCUAAUAGCGUUAAGUAAAAUAUUGCCUGUACCGAAAACUGACACAGGUAGAUUUGUAGAGAAUACUAAGGGGCGCGAGAUAACUGUUUCUAAGGAACUCGGCAAAAUGACUCCGUAACUUCGGGAGAAGGAGUGCCUUCUAGAUUUAGAAGGUUUCAAUAACCAGGCCCAAACGACUGUUUACCAAAAACACAGGUCUCCGCUAAGUUGAAAAACGAUGUAUGGGGGCUGACGCCUGCCCAGUGCCGGAAGGUUAAAGAAGUUGGUUAGCGCAAGCAAAGCUGAUAACUGAAGCCCCGGUGAACGGCGGCCGUAACUAUAACGGUCCUAAGGUAGCGAAAUUCCUUGUCGGGUAAGUUCCGACCCGCACGAAAGGCGUAACGAUUUGGGCGCUGUCUCGGAAACAGACUCGGUGAAAUAGAAUUGACUGUGAAGAUGCGGUCUACUCGCACUUGGACAGAAAGACCCUAUGAAGCUUUACUGUAUCUUGAAAUUGAUUUUGGGCUUUUUUUGCGCAGAAUAGGUGGGAGGCUUUGAUUCUCUUUUUCGGAAGUAGAGGAGCCAAAAUAUGAGAUACCACUCUUAAAAGGUUAGAGAUCUAAUGAUAUAAUCAAUAUAUUAGACAUUCUCAGGUGGGCAGUUUUACUGGGGCGGUAGCCUCCUAAAAAGUAACGGAGGCGCACAAAGGUUCUCUCAUCCUGGACGGAAAUCAGGUGAAGAGUGUAAAGGUAAAAGAGAGCUUGACUGUAAGACAUAUAAGUCGAGCAGAGACUAAAGUCGGUCUUAGUGACCCGACGAUGCUGAGUGGAAAGGUCGUCGUUCAACAGAUAAAAGUUACUCUAGGGAUAACAGGCUGAUCUCCCCCAAGAGUUCACAUCGACGGGGAGGUUUGGCACCUCGAUGUCGGCUCAUCGCAUCCUGGGGCGGUAGUACGUCCCAAGGGUUGGGCUGUUCGCCCAUUAAAGCGGUACGUGAGCUGGGUUCAGAACGUCGAGAGACAGUUCGGUCCAUAUCCGGUGUGAGCGUUAGAGCAUUGAGAGGAUCUUUCCUUAGUACGAGAGGACCGGGAAGGAUGUACCGCUGUUGUACCGGUUUUCACACCAGUGGAAAACGCCGGGUAGUCAAGUAUAGAGUGGAUA